CCUACGGGAGGCAGCAGUGGGGAAUCUUGCACAAUGGAGGAAACUCUGAUGCAGCGAUGCCGCGUGAGUGAAGAAGGCCCUUGGGUUGUAAAGCUCUUUCGUCGGGGAAGAAAAUGACUGUACCCGAAUAAGAAGGUCCGGCUAACUUCGUGCCAGCAGCCGCGGUAAUACGAAGGGACCUAGCGUAGUUCGGAAUUACUGGGCUUAAAGAGUUCGUAGGUGGUUGAAAUAGUUGGUGGUGAAAUCCCAGAGCUUAACUCUGGAACUGCCAUCAAAACUUUUCAGCUAGAGUUUGAUAGAGGAAAGCAGAAUUUCUAGUGUAGAGGUGAAAUUCGUAGAUAUUAGAAAGAAUACCAAUUGCGAAGGCAGCUUUCUGGAUCAUUACUGACACUGAGGAACGAAAGCAUGGGUAGCGAAGAGGAUUAGAUACCCUCGUAGUCCAUGCCGUAAACGAUGUGUGUUAGACGUUGGAAAUUUAUUUUCAGUGUCGCAGCGAAAGCGAUAAACACACCGCCUGGGGAGUACGACCGCAAGGUUAAAACUCAAAUGAAUUGACGG
rnacentral:rRNA from 1 species